GAUCAUGGCUCAGGAUAAACGCUGGCGGCGCACAUAAGACAUGCAAGUCGAACGGAAGUCGUUGUAAUGAUAUAGACAUGGACUGAGAACUUGUUCAAAGAAAGUGAAAGUUGACUUACAACAAUGGCUUUAGUGGCGGACUGGUGAGUAACACGUAAGCAACCUGCCUAUCAGAGGGGAACAACAGUUAGAAAUGACUGCUAAUACCGCAUAUGCCUUAGCAACACA
rnacentral:rRNA from 1 species